GAGAUGAGAGGGGAUGAUGGGAGGGAGGAGUAACAAAAGUGGAAACAAAAACUAAAAAUUGAAAUCUAUUUGAAAUUGUCAUUUUCAAGUUUUUGUUUUCACUUUUGUUACUCCUCCCUCUCAUCCUUAUUAAAUGACUAU
rnacentral:miRNA from 1 species